rnacentral:ncRNA from 2 species
CUCUUAUCGAGAGAGGUGGAGGGAAAUGGCCCUAUGAAACCCGGCAACCAGUGUGUUAUUUUCACAUUAAGGUGCCAAUUCCCGCAGAUAGAUUUCUGCAAGAUAAGAG